rnacentral:rRNA from 1 species
UUGCUUCUUUGCUGACGAGUGGCGGACGGGUGAGUAAUGUCUGGGAAACUGCCUGAUGGAGGGGGAUAACUACUGGAAACGGUAGCUAAUACCGCAUAACGUCGCAAGACCAAAGAGGGGGACCUUCGGGCCUCUUGCCAUCGGAUGUGCCCAGAUGGGAUUAGCUAGUAGGUGGGGUAACGGCUCACCUAGGCGACGAUCCCUAGCUGGUCUGAGAGGAUGACCAGCCACACUGGAACUGAGACACGGUCCAGACUCCUACGGGAGGCAGCAGUGGGGAAUAUUGCACAAUGGGCGCAAGCCUGAUGCAGCCAUGCCGCGUGUAUGAAGAAGGCCUUCGGGUUGUAAAGUACUUUCAGCGGGGAGGAAGGGAGUAAAGUUAAUACCUUUGCUCAUUGACGUUACCCGCAGAAGAAGCACCGGCUAACUCCGUGCCAGCAGCCGCGGUAAUACGGAGGGUGCAAGCGUUAAUCGGAAUUACUGGGCGUAAAGCGCACGCAGGCGGUUUGUUAAGUCAGAUGUGAAAUCCCCGGGCUCAACCUGGGAACUGCAUCUGAUACUGGCAAGCUUGAGUCUCGUAGAGGGGGGUAGAAUUCCAGGUGUAGCGGUGAAAUGCGUAGAGAUCUGGAGGAAUACCGGUGGCGAAGGCGGCCCCCUGGACGAAGACUGACGCUCAGGUGCGAAAGCGUGGGGAGCAACAGGAUUAGAUACCCUGGUAGUCACGCCGUAACGAUGUCGACUUGGAGGUGUGCCCUUGA